AAUGCUUUGCCUGUGGGGCAGUAUGGAAAUGAAAUGAAAGAAUGGUAUUGGUCACGAUAUACAUCUGCCACCUCUAAUGCCUCAGGAUACUCAUUCCAGGGUAAAGAAAUUUCAGAGAAAUUCCUGUUGGUUGAGGUUGGGCUUCUUGGGCCUUCCUUACUCAGCAGGUCACUAAAGAGUGAAGACAAGUGCCCUGCUUUUUAUUCUGCCAUCUGCAGUUUGGCUGCCUGUCGUCACAGUGGUGAUUAAGUUCAAAAACUCCCCCAAAACUAUUUAUUGGAAGUUCUUGUGGGUUUCCUCAAAGAUGAAGAAGUUAGAUGUAGAUCAAAGAUUAUCUCUGGACAUUGAAUACUUGUCCUGGAGGUCCAAGAGUUGGUAGUGAUGUGAAGCCAGUGGUAAGGUACCAGACCCACGAAGUAACUUCUAAGCCAGAAGAGCCUAAAGGAAGGAAUAGUUCAAAGAGCUCUAUGUUCUCU